UACAGAGGGUGCGAGCGUUAAUCGGAAUUACUGGGCGUAAAGCGUGCGCAGGCGGUCUUUUAAGUCAGAUGUGAAAUCCCUCGGCUUAACCGAGGAACUGCGUCCGAUACUGAAAGGCUUGAAUCCGGGAGAGGGAUGUGGAAUUCCAGGUGUAGCGGUGAAAUGCGUAGAUAUCUGGAGGAACACCGGUGGCGAAGGCGGCAUCCUGGACCGGUAUUGACGCUGAGGCGCGAAAGCUAGGGGAGCAAACGGG
rnacentral:rRNA from 1 species